GAAGAGCUGGAAGGCAGCAACGCCGCGUGAGUGAUGAAGGUUUUCGGAUCGUAAAACUCUGUUGUAAGGGAAGAACAAGUGCGUUAGGUAAUGAACGCACCUUGACGGUACCUUAUUAGAAAGCCACGGCUAACUACGUGCCAGCAGCCGCGGUAAUAA
rnacentral:rRNA from 1 species